UCCCAUUUGUCCGACUGAUGCAGUCUGCCUU
rnacentral:piRNA from 1 species